CAUCGAAGUUAGGUUAUAUGUGGUAGUCUGUGAUCUGUGAAUAUACAAACUGUGAUUAACUUAUAUACUUAUUAUUAAAUAUUUUUAAUAUAAACUAAAUAUGACUAAACUAAGUACAAAACAAAAGAGACUGCUAAACGAAGUAAUAGAAAAUAGAAUUAAGCGUGACCAGUUUAUAAAGAGGAUUGGAAGUAAUGUUUUUAGCAAGGCAACACAUGGAUUGCGAGAGAAACUGCUAACAAGACAAACUCAAAGAAAAAAUUUUAUUGAAGAAAACAGGAAAGAUGAAUUGAUUAAACGAUUACUGAACUCUGAAAAAAAUAAAAUAUUGGUUCAAAAAACUCUUGAUAUAUAUGAAUCAUCUGAUUUAGGUUCAAAUUACAAUUGUGAUGAUCAAAAUGAUUUGAGAUUAUCUGAAGUAUCUGCCACUAAAAUGAACAAUUUCUUGGCUAAUUUGGAAAAGAGUGUACAAAAUGUCAAAAAAUAUAGAAGAAACAAAUGCACCCCUCAGAUACACAACAUAAAAACACACUGGAAUUCUCCCACAUGCUUAAUGAAAGCCAUUACCCACAGUAUAGUUACAAGAAAUUGGUAUAAUUUUACACAUCUAUUAUUUAAAUUAAUUCAUUUCACUAAGGAUGAUAAUUAUGUAUCAUUAAUUUAUGAGUAUUGUGAUAAUAUAUUAAACAGAUGCCAUCCAUUAAUUGAAGAAAGUGGACUAAAAGAUCAGUGUAAAAUGAUUCUUAGAGACAGGACUUAAAUUCAAGUGAAAAUUUAACAAAUCGGGCCUGUAUGACAAAUAAGAGCAGCUUUUGUUACUUACAUUAAUUAUCAUGAUUUCAGUAUUUUUACCUUAUAAGAUAUUGUGAAGGUUUUUGUGACCGUUGUUUCCAUAUCUAUAUAUGUUCCGGUGUAUAGGUCUACGUUUGUUGGAAUUAUUUCCUGACGUUUCGGUAGCUCAAACUUAGACCUGUAAAUCCGAACAAAUAUAGAUAUUAUAAGAUAUUGUAAAAAAAUUCCCAGCAAUGAAAUUCAUAAGCAUCACUAAAAGUUUCUUAGUAAUCUUUUUUUCAUCCAUUUUGAUAGAAUUUUAAAUAAAUUGAAGGUAAAUGGCUCAAAUGAAAAAAAAAAAUGAAUGAUAAAUUUCAUAUUUUGCCCAGAUGAAUUACUAUAAUUCAUCAGUGCUGUUGUUUUGUAUGUUUGAUUGUAUAUGUUACAUUCGAUACCUAAUUAAUAUUGUAUUUAUAUGUGUUGCAAUUCUAGUAACAUUCUAGCAACGCAAUUCAUUCACUUAGGAUUGUCAGAUUUAGUUAUUCUUUUUUUAAUAUUUCAAGUGUGUUAAUAAUAUUUGUUUUAAACUAAAUAAAUGUGUUUGUACCAUCGUCUACACAGUUGCAUUACCACUUUCAAUUCAAAGCCGCUUGCCGCACAACUCAAAUGUAGAAUGAAUCAGUCUGGUGUAUGUUAUGCAACGGUGAAGGGCGUAAGCAAAAAAUAAAUCUCGAAGUGGUAAUUCAGUUCUGUAAAUUAAUUUGAUUUCUUAUUUAUCAUUAUACGUAGUUUUUAAAAAUCAACAACUUGUGCAUAAACAUAUAAAAUAAUA